rnacentral:rRNA from 1 species
AUACGGAGGGUGCGAGCGUUAAUCGGAAUUACUGGGCGUAAAGCGUACGUAGGCGGUUGGUUAAGUUAGAUGUGAAAGCCCCGGGCUUAACCUGGGAACCGCAUUUAAAACUGGCGAACUAGAGUUGAGUAGAGGGGAGUGGAAUUUCAGGUGUAGCGGUGAAAUGCGUAGAGAUCUGAAGGAACACCAGUGGCGAAGGCGACUCCCUGGACUCGAACUGACGCUGAGGUACGAAAGCGUGGGUAGCAAACGGGAUUAGAAACCCUUGUAGUCC